rnacentral:rRNA from 1 species
UACAGAGGUCUCAAGCGUUGUUCGGAUUCAUUGGGCGUAAAGGGCGCGUAGGCGGUGGGGUAAGUCUGGUGUGAAAUCUCGGAGCUCAACUUCGAAAUUGCACUGGAUACUGCUCUGCUAGAGGGCUGGAGAGGAGAUCGGAAUUCACGGUGUAGCAGUGAAAUGCGUAGAUAUCGUGAGGAAGACCAGUGGCGAAGGCGGAUCUCUGGACAGCUCCUGACGCUGAGGCGCGAAGGCUAGGGGAGCAAACGGA